rnacentral:rRNA from 1 species
UACGUAGGGUGCAAGCGUUAAUCGGAAUUACUGGGCGUAAAGCGUGCGCAGGCGGUUUUUUAAGCCAGAUGUGAAACUCCCCGAGCUUAACUUGGGAACUGCAUUUGGGACUGGAAGGCUAGAGUACGGCAGAGGGGGGCGGAAUUCCACGUGUAGCAGUGAAAUGCGUAGAGAUGUGGAGGAACACCGAUGGCGAAGGCACUCUACUGGGCCAUUACUGACACUAAGAGACGAAAGCUAGGGGAGCAAAUGGG